ACCCUCUCAGGUUCGCAGCUGGAGAGUUUCCAGUACUCUACCAGUCUCAACUACAAGAGGGGGAAUCAAGCAGAGGCCUACCCAUUCCAUUCCUAGCUUGGCCAGUGGCUAGUGAGUGGAAGGCAGUUUGCUACAAAU
rfam:Ornithorhynchus anatinus chromosome 4, whole genome shotgun sequence.